AUUCAGUUAACAUCAGCAGCAGCGUUGAAAUUUGUUGAAGACGAUUUACUCCUGUUUUGGCGAAGAACUGACACCGGCCCAUGUGAACCGUUCUCGACAUUUCGAAUGCAAUGCAAUCGAUGUGUUUGUUCCGCCGAUGCUACUUUGUUUUGCACUAAAAUGUUUUGCGGUAAACCAGGAUCCGAGCACAAUAAAAUAAGCGAAGAGAACGUAUAAUCGGUGAAAAACUGAAUGUUUUAUAAAU